rnacentral:misc_RNA from 1 species
UUUGGCAGAAAGAUAUUCUGCUUCUGGGACAUUAGGAAAAGCUGUUCUAGAUCGGACCGAGUCAUCUGUAUCAAACAAUUCUGAUGAUGAGGCUCGUCAAUUCUGGAGGCAUCAGCUCCCUGAUGAUAUCACACCUGAUUUCAAGUCAAUGGGAGAAGAUGAGAACCUAUCUCUUGGAAAUAUUUCGUUGGCAGGCUUAUCCUUG